UAGUUUGGGUCGGUUAACCAAUUGAGCAUCCCUAGUUUCUACACGCAUGUGUGUGACUGAAUUUCUAGUAUAUAUAAUAUUCAUAUUUACUAUCAAUUAGUUUGUUUUAAACUAUAGAUGGAAUUAACCCCAAAAAUCAAUAAAAUAAAAAAAUUAUCAAAAUUGGAAAGAAAAAAGUUAAUAUUGUAAGGCCCAAAUUUUGCCCGGGGCCCAAAUUAAACCAAAAAAAGAGUCCACUGUCCAUUACAAAAAAUUAAACCCAAAUUCCCUAACCCAACAGGCCCAAACGGCCCAAGUACAAAUAAAAUAACCCUAAGCCCGAUUAACAGUAGC
rnacentral:lncRNA from 1 species